CUAAUAGCAAGAAGUUUGAGUUCAGAAGCAAGGCUGGCUAAUAUCAUGUGGAUGUUUCUUCUUAAGCAUAUUCAUCUGUUUACUGCUAAGAAUUUGAUAUUCUGGCAACUAUCCUUGCACUCAAUGAUGUGGCCUAGUAGUCAAUGAAGUGCAUGAAAAUCAUGAGAUAUCACGGUUGAAAAGCCCUACCAGCUGAAGAAAAAAAAAAGUUAGGUGAUU
rnacentral:lncRNA from 1 species